UACGGAGGAUGCAAGCGUUAUCCGGAUUCAUUGGGUUUAAAGGGUGCGUAGGCGGGAUAAUAAGUCAGUGGUGAAAGCCUACAGCUUAACUGUAGAACUGCCAUUGAUACUGUUAACCUUGAGUACAUUUGAGGUGGGCGGAAUGUGUAAUGUAGCGGUGAAAUGCUUAGAUAUGACACAGAACACCGAUAGCGAAGGCAGCUCACUAAACUGUAACUGACGCUGAGGCACGAAAGCGUGGGGAUCAAACAGG
rnacentral:rRNA from 1 species